GACAGAGGUUGCAAACGUUGUUCGGAAUUACUGGGCAUAAAGAGCACGUAGGCCGUCCGCUAAGUCAGGUGUGAAAUCCCCCGGCUCAACCGGGGAAUAGCACCUGAUACUGGCGGGCUAGAGGUCGAUAGGGGUGAGUGGAACUCCAGGUGGAGCGGUGAAAUGCGUAGAUAUCUGGAGGAACACCGGUGGCGAAAGCGACUCACUGGAUCGAAUCUGACGCUGAGGUGCGAAAGCUAGGGUAGCAAACGGG
rnacentral:rRNA from 1 species